rnacentral:lncRNA from 1 species
UCACUGUCGGGUCAAAUGGAAAAUUACGCAUUGAGGGCCUACUUUGUGCAGAGUGCCGGACUGAACACAGCUGAAAGCUCUAGAACUGCAGAUGUCAGAAAGGGAGGCUCCUGGUGCCCAACAAUGUCACCUGGCAGUACUGCAUUUGUGGGGUCUGAUUCUCAGCAUUUCAAAGCAGAGCACACUGCUGUCCAUAUACGUGGAAUUGGCCCGUUUCUCAUGGAUGGGAUCAUACGAGCCAAGCACAUGACAUGGCAACAAAACAAACCAAUCCGUGGACCCAGAAACCCAAUGCGUUGUUUUAACAAUGAUGUUCUUGACUGAUCUGCUUCUGCUCCUAUUAAGGACCCGCUUCCAGAUAUCGAGGCGUCUUGGAGGCCAACCAGUAAUUAGAAGGUUUCUCAGUGAGAGUGCACUCAGCACCAAGGAAGGGAAUCUUGAGGAGUAUUUCACCCUCUUUGUGAUCCCCCUGUACCUAGUGUUCUGCCACUAUGGUGCAACCAAUCACACUGAACAGAAUUUAUUAGAUUAUACAAUUGUCUUCCUAGGAACUUCCUAUGUACUCUUAAAGAACAGAAGCCGUGUCUUGGCUGCACAAUAAACGUGUGUUGCAUUGAAAUUAUUAAGUUGGACUCUCUUCAUCCCAAAACGCAACCCAGACUAGUUAGAAUACGAGCACUUGCCAGAGUCAAUGUGCACAUCUCUCUUAGAAAGGACAGAGUAAACCAUUCUGGCUAUGGAGUGGAGAAAAAAUUAGAAGGCAAGUGGAGACGCAAGUGGACAAAUUAAGGGGCUAAUUGCUAAUUUAGGCAAGAAACAAUUGUAGAUGGACAAAUAAUUGUUGUAUAUUCAUAUAAUGGAAUGGAAUGGAAAACUACACAAUUGAGAAAAAGAACAAACUAUUGAUCUAUGCAACAGCAUGAAUGACUCUCAUAGACGAUGUGACAAGAAAGAAGCCAAACUCCAGAUGUAUACGUUAUGAGAAGCUGGAUGAGCAAGGCUCUGUGUUAGAGCUAUUGUGGAAACAAUCCUAAGUGCCGGCAGUGCAUGGGGACCGUGACCCAAACCCUUCUACAACAGCCCAAGCCACACCCUGCCAAAGCUCCCAAAGGCGUGGCUUAGGUCUUAUGGUGGAGACGAGAGAGAACCGGGGUCCAGAACGACUCGAGGACAGCUUUGGAAACUCCACCUGCUGGACUGGAGUGAGACAAGCAGAAGGGGAUACGUGUGCUAACACCAUGGUUCUCACCCACACCAAGACAGCAUACUGUGACAGAGGCUGCUGGCUAACCCCCAAAAUUUAUGCUCUCCCUUCUGUAGUGUGAAUUUGUUGCUGGGAGGUGACUGUCCAACCAUAGGUUUAUUUCCCAGUACCCCUUGAAUCCAGGUGUGACCACAGGACUAGUUCUCACCAACGGAGAGUAAGUAGAACUGAGGUGCACCAUUUUCAGAAUUUGCCAUUAGCUGGAAGCAGAAGACAGAAGAUCCACAGGAUGGAAGGAAGCUGGGUGUCUGAAUUACCAUAAGGAAGAAAGCUCCCGGUGAUCAGGAUUAUACACACCAGACUGCUACAUGAUGGAAAAAUAAACUUUUCUUGUGUUAAGC